rnacentral:rRNA from 1 species
GGGACGGGCGGCGGCUACCAUGCAGUCGAGCGGAACGAGUUAUCUGAACCUUCGGGGAACGAUAACGGCGUCGAGCGGCGGACGGGUGAGUAAUGCCUAGGAAAUUGCCCUGAUGUGGGGGAUAACCAUUGGAAACGAUGGCUAAUACCGCAUAAUACCUUCGGGUCAAAGAGGGGGACCUUCGGGCCUCUCGCGUCAGGAUAUGCCUAGGUGGGAUUAGCUAGUUGGUGAGGUAAUGGCUCACCAAGGCGACGAUCCCUAGCUGGUCUGAGAGGAUGAUCAGCCACACUGGAACUGAGACACGGUCCAGACUCCUACGGGAGGCAGCAGUGGGGAAUAUUGCACAAUGGGCGCAAGCCUGAUGCAGCCAUGCCGCGUGUGUGAAGAAGGCCUUCGGGUUGUAAAGCACUUUCAGUCGUGAGGAAGGUGGUAGUGUUAAUAGCACUAUCAUUUGACGUUAGCGACAGAAGAAGCACCGGCUAACUCCGUGCCAGCAGCCGCGGUAAUACGGAGGGUGCGAGCGUUAAUCGGAAUUACUGGGCGUAAAGCGCAUGCAGGUGGUUUGUUAAGUCAGAUGUGAAAGCCCGGGGCUCAACCUCGGAAUAGCAUUUGAAACUGGCAGACUAGAGUACUGUAGAGGGGGGUAGAAUUUCAGGUGUAGCGGUGAAAUGCGUAGAGAUCUGAAGGAAUACCGGUGGCGAAGGCGGCCCCCUGGACAGAUACUGACACUCAGAUGCGAAAGCGUGGGGAGCAAACAGGAUUAGAUACCCUGGUAGUCCACGCCGUAAACGAUGUCUACUUGGAGGUUGUGGCCUUGAGCCGUGGCUUUCGGAGCUAACGCGUUAAGUAGACCGCCUGGGGAGUACGGUCGCAAGAUUAAAACUCAAAUGAAUUGACGGGGGCCCGCACAAGCGGUGGAGCAUGUGGUUUAAUUCGAUGCAACGCGAAGAACCUUACCUACUCUUGACAUCCAGAGAACUUUCCAGAGAUGGAUUGGUGCCUUCGGGAACUCUGAAACAGGUGCUGCAUGGCUGUCGUCAGCUCGUGUUGGGAAAUGGUGGGGUAAAGUCCCGCAACGAGGGCAACCCUUAUCCUUGUUUGCCAGCACUUCGGGGGGGAACUCCAGGGAAACUGCCGGGGAAAAACCGGAGGAAGGGGGGGAAGAAGUCAAGUCUCCUGGGCCCUUAAAAGAAGGGUAACAA